UCCGUCAGAACCUGGAUGAGUUUCGAGC
rnacentral:piRNA from 1 species